CUCUACCUUUCGUUCGGUUCUCCCUUCCUCUCUCGUUAUACUCCAGCAAUAUCUUUAUCAUCAACGUCAUAAACCUCAAAUCCUUUUCCCUCUUUUCUUUCGAAACCCUAGAAAUCUCUUUCUGUUUGAAGAGCCCCCAAACCAAAACCUAAUGGUCGUCGUUGAAGAAGAAGAAGAUAGAAAACGUCUUGGAACUAGGGUUAAUACAAAGGGUUUUUUUUGUUAUUUGAUAUAUGUUGAUUCUGUAAAUGAAAUUUCAAUAAAUAGGUCAGGAUAAGAUUAGGGUUUCGAUAUUCAAAUUGAAUUUGAUUUGUUACAGGAAGAGAUGGGGUUCUAGGUCUACCGUAAAGAACUGGAUAUCACUUUGCUUGUUACGGGAUAUUUUUCCUUUAUUUCAUCUUUAAUUAUAAUACUUGGGUAUAUUUAUUUAAUGUAUUGAAUGUUUAAUUGUUGUUUUUCUUCAACGAGUGGUGAUUGUUGUUUUUGGUUAAUUAAGGAGUAUUUUCAGUUUUUGACUAAUUAGGAUUAUUGUGUUUGUUUAGAAAUUGCAGGCUAAAGGAUUGCAGGGAAGGAGCUAUGUAAGAAUAUAGACAAGAAGUAAACUGAUUAAUCCUUUACUAGAAACAUCAUCGACAUUUGGGGGGUUAGACCAAAUCUGGAAGUUGCGUUCGAAAAGGAUAGCCAGGAAGAUUCUGUGCUUUGGCUUUGUUUUGAUUGGAACAAGAAACUUAAGCAAGCUUUGAUUCAAAAAAUUUGGGUUAGAUAGUAUUUUAUGUUCGUUAAACAUUGGUCUGACUGAUGUUGCUCAUAAGUUGUUCUAUUCCAUUCCUAGGUUUCUUAUAGCUUAUACAUGAUAUAUGAUUAUACAUGUAGCAAAUAGUGAUGUAUGCAGGUCCAAAUCCGAACUCAACCUGCCAUCGUUAUUGGGAUGAAUUUAUGAAGAGUACGAGAGGGGCUUGCAGCAGUAAGCUGGGAAGACCUUACAACAGGCUUCCAAUGUUAGUAUUUUGUUAUUUUUAUAUGCACAUCAUGGGGAUAAUCUGGGGUUCGAAGAACAAGAUUCAGUGACCUGAUAAGGAAAUUUCAAGAGCUUGUACCAAAUAUGGAUAAGGCUCUCUCAUCUGGUUACUUACCUAUUGGUGCUGUUAUUUGAACUUAUUAGGAUUUGUAAGGUGUCCAUUCUGACAUUCCAAUAUUUUUCUAUCAUUAUUAAACUGGAUUUAUGAAUAUAAUGAAUGUUCCAUAGAA